AUUGAACGCUGGCGGCAUGCUUUACACAUGCAAGUCGAACGGUAACAGGGUGCUUGCACCGCUGACGAGGGGCGAACGGGUGAGUAAUGCGUCGGAACGUGCCGAGUAGGGGGGGAUAACGCAGCGAAAGUUGUGAUAAUACCGCACACGUAACGAGGUAGAAAGUGGGGGACCUUCGGGCCUCACGCAAGUCGAGCGGCCGACGUCUGAUUAGGUAGUAGGGGGGGUAAGAGCUCACCUAGGCGACGAUCAGUAGCGGGUCUGAGAGGAUGAUCCGCCACACUGGGACUGAGACACGGCCCAGACUCCUACGGGAGGCAGCAGUGGGGAAUUUUGGACAAUGGGCGCAAGCCUGAUCCAGCCAUGCCGCGUGUCUGAAGAAGGCCUUCGGGUUGUAAAGGACUUUUGUCAGGGAGGAAAUCCUAGUGGCUAAUAACUGCUGGGGAUGACAGUACCUGAAGAAUAAGCACCGGCUAACUACGUGCCAGCAGCCGCCGUAACAC
rnacentral:rRNA from 1 species